rnacentral:rRNA from 1 species
CCCGUUAGCGUAGGUCGCUCUGAUGCGUACUUAAGGAAGCCUUUGCACCCCUAAAGGGGGUUCUCGCGACUCUAAACAAGGAGGUAUGCAAGUGACGAAGGCCUAACGGCUAGAGUUGCAACACGAUCGAAUUGCGGGGAAGUUCUAAAGCCUCAGGGUACUAACCUACUGCAGGGAUGCAGUAGGGGCCUGUGUUAAUCGCACAGGGUACAGUAACAACCCCGGAGGAUCCAGCCACGUGCCGGAAUGGACGAUCCGCAGCGAAGCCCCUCGACCAGGGGAACGUUCACAGACUAAGUGGUUGUGGGUAGGAGGUGCUCCUGCUUAAGAUAUAGUCGGGCUGGCGCGGAAACGUGCUGGGGAUUCGCAAGAACGCAAACCGCUCCGUAGGUGAACCUGCGGAGGGAUCAUUACAGAGACUCUGCCCCCUGGGUAGACCUCCCACCCUGUGCCGUUAUACCUCUAUUGCUUUGGCGGGCCGCGGGGCCCCGGCCCUGCCCCUGGCUCCGGCUCGGGCGCGCCCGCCAGAGGACUCUAAAACCUGAAUGUUAGUGUCGUCCGAGUACUAUAUAAUAGUUAAAACUUUCAACAACGGAUCUCUUGGUUCUGGCAUCGAUGAAGAACGCAGCGAAAUGCGAUAAGUAAUGUGAAUUGCAGAAUUCAGUGAAUCAUCGAAUCUUUGAACGCACAUUGCGCCCCUUGGUAUUCCGGGGGGCAUGCCUGUUCGAGCGUCAUUACACCCUCAAGCUCUGCUUGGUCUUGGGCGUCACCGGUCCCCGGUGUGCCUUAAAAUCCGUGGCGGCGCCGUCUGGCUCUGAGCGUAGUACACACUCUCGCUACAGACGCCCGGCGGAUGCUGGCCAGCAACCCCCAAUCUAUCAGGUUGACCUCGGAUCACGUAGGGAUACCCGCUGAACUUAAGCUACGAAA